AGCGUACACGGUGGAUGCCCUGGCAGUCAGAGGCGAUGAAGGACGUGCUAAUCUGCGAUAAGCGUCGGUAAGGUGAUAUGAACCGUUAUAACCGGCGAUUUCCGAAUGGGGAAACCCAGUGUGAUUCGUCACACUAUCAUUAACUGAAUCCAUAGGUUAAUGAGGCGAACCGGGGGAACUGAAACAUCUAAGUACCCCGAGGAAAAGAAAUCAACCGAGAUUCCCCCAGUAGCGGCGAGCGAACGGGGAGGAGCCCAGAGCCUGAAUCAGUGUGUGUGUUAGUGGAAGCGUCUGGAAAGGCGCGCGAUACAGGGUGACAGCCCCGUACACAAAAAUGCACAUGCUGUGAGCUCGAUGAGUAGGGCGGGACACGUGGUAUCCUGUCUGAAUAUGGGGGGACCAUCCUCCAAGGCUAAAUACUCCUGACUGACCGAUAGUGAACCAGUACCGUGAGGGAAAGGCGAAAAGAACCCCGGCGAGGGGAGUGAAAAAGAACCUGAAACCGUGUACGUACAAGCAGUGGGAGCACAGAGCAAUCUGUGUGACUGCGUACCUUUUGUAUAAUGGGUCAGCGACUUAUAUUCUGUAGCAAGGUUAACCGAAUAGGGGAGCCGAAGGGAAACCGAGUCUUAACUGGGCGUUAAGUUGCAGGGUAUAGACCCGAAACCCGGUGAUCUAGCCAUGGGCAGGUUGAAGGUUGGGUAACACUAACUGGAGGACCGAACCGACUAAUGUUGAAAAAUUAGCGGAUGACUUGUGGCUGGGGGUGAAAGGCCAAUCAAACCGGGAGAUAGCUGGUUCUCCCCGAAAGCUAUUUAGGUAGCGCCUCGUGAAUUCAUCUCCGGGGGUAGAGCACUGUUUCGGCAAGGGGGUCAUCCCGACUUACCAACCCGAUGCAAACUGCGAAUACCGGAGAAUGUUAUCACGGGAGACACACGGCGGGUGCUAACGUCCGUCGUGAAGAGGGAAACAACCCAGACCGCCAGCUAAGGUCCCAAAGUCAUGGUUAAGUGGGAAACGAUGUGGGAAGGCCCAGACAGCCAGGAUGUUGGCUUAGAAGCAGCCAUCAUUUAAAGAAAGCGUAAUAGCUCACUGGUCGAGUCGGCCUGCGCGGAAGAUGUAACGGGGCUAAACCAUGCACCGAAGCUGCGGCAGCGACGCUUAUGCGUUGUUGGGUAGGGGAGCGUUCUGUAAGCCUGUGAAGGUGUGCUGUGAGGCAUGCUGGAGGUAUCAGAAGUGCGAAUGCUGACAUAAGUAACGAUAAAGCGGGUGAAAAGCCCGCUCGCCGGAAGACCAAGGGUUCCUGUCCAACGUUAAUCGGGGCAGGGUGAGUCGACCCCUAAGGCGAGGCCGAAAGGCGUAGUCGAUGGGAAACAGGUUAAUAUUCCUGUACUUGGUGUUACUGCGAAGGGGGGACGGAGAAGGCUAUGUUGGCCGGGCGACGGUUGUCCCGGUUUAAGCGUGUAGGCUGGUUUUCCAGGCAAAUCCGGAAAAUCAAGGCUGAGGCGUGAUGACGAGGCACUACGGUGCUGAAGCAACAAAUGCCCUGCUUCCAGGAAAAGCCUCUAAGCAUCAGGUAACAUCAAAUCGUACCCCAAACCGACACAGGUGGUCAGGUAGAGAAUACCAAGGCGCUUGAGAGAACUCGGGUGAAGGAACUAGGCAAAAUGGUGCCGUAACUUCGGGAGAAGGCACGCUGAUAUGUAGGUGAAGUCCCUCGCGGAUGGAGCUGAAAUCAGUCGAAGAUACCAGCUGGCUGCAACUGUUUAUUAAAAACACAGCACUGUGCAAACACGAAAGUGGACGUAUACGGUGUGACGCCUGCCCGGUGCCGGAAGGUUAAUUGAUGGGGUCAGCGCAAGCGAAGCUCUUGAUCGAAGCCCCGGUAAACGGCGGCCGUAACUAUAACGGUCCUAAGGUAGCGAAAUUCCUUGUCGGGUAAGUUCCGACCUGCACGAAUGGCGUAAUGAUGGCCAGGCUGUCUCCACCCGAGACUCAGUGAAAUUGAACUCGCUGUGAAGAUGCAGUGUACCCGCGGCAAGACGGAAAGACCCCGUGAACCUUUACUAUAGCUUGACACUGAACAUUGAGCCUUGAUGUGUAGGAUAGGUGGGAGGCUUUGAAGUGUGGACGCCAGUCUGCAUGGAGCCGACCUUGAAAUACCACCCUUUAAUGUUUGAUGUUCUAACGUUGACCCGUAAUCCGGGUUGCGGACAGUGUCUGGUGGGUAGUUUGACUGGGGCGGUCUCCUCCUAAAGAGUAACGGAGGAGCACGAAGGUUGGCUAAUCCUGGUCGGACAUCAGGAGGUUAGUGCAAUGGCAUAAGCCAGCUUGACUGCGAGCGUGACGGCGCGAGCAGGUGCGAAAGCAGGUCAUAGUGAUCCGGUGGUUCUGAAUGGAAGGGCCAUCGCUCAACGGAUAAAAGGUACUCCGGGGAUAACAGGCUGAUACCGCCCAAGAGUUCAUAUCGACGGCGGUGUUUGGCACCUCGAUGUCGGCUCAUCACAUCCUGGGGCUGAAGUAGGUCCCAAGGGUAUGGCUGUUCGCCAUUUAAAGUGGUACGCGAGCUGGGUUUAGAACGUCGUGAGACAGUUCGGUCCCUAUCUGCCGUGGGCGCUGGAGAACUGAGGGGGGCUGCUCCUAGUACGAGAGGACCGGAGUGGACGCAUCACUGGUGUUCGGGUUGUCAUGCCAAUGGCACUGCCCGGUAGCUAAAUGCGGAAGAGAUAAGUGCUGAAAGCAUCUAAGCACGAAACUUGCCCCGAGAUGAGUUCUCCCUGACUCCUUGA
rnacentral:rRNA from 1 species